UACGUAGGGCGCAAGCGUUAUCCGGAAUUAUUGGGCGUAAAGAGCUCGUAGGCGGUUUGUCGCGUCUGCCGUGAAAGUCCGGGCUCAACUCCGGAUCUGCGGUGGGUACGGGCAGGCUAGAGUUCGGUAGGGGAGACUGGAAUUCCUGGUGUAGCGGUGAAAUGCGCAGAUAUCAGGAGGAACACCGGUGGCGAAGGCGGGUCUCUGGGCCGAUACUGACGCUGAGGAGCGAAAGCGUGGGGAGCGAACAGG
rnacentral:rRNA from 1 species